rnacentral:snRNA from 1 species
UUGUUUCAGCAGCACAUAUACUAAAACUGGAACAAUACAAAGAUUAGCAUGGCCCCUGCACAAGGAUGACAUGCAAAUUGGUAAACUGUUCUAUGUUUUU